GCAUAUCAAUAAGCGGAGGAAAAGAAACCAACAGGGAUUGCCCUAGUAACGGCGUAAGUGAAGCGGCAACAGCUCAAAUUUGAAAUCUGGCGUCUUUGGCGUCCGAAGUUGUAAUUUGCAGAGGGCGCUUUGGCAUUGGGCAGCGGUCCAAGUUCCUUGGAACAGGACGUCACAGAGGGUGAGAAUCCCGUACGUGGUCGCUAGCCUUUACCGUGUAAAGCCCCUUCGACGAGUCGAGUUGUUUGGGAAUGCAGCUCUAAAUGGGAGGUAAAUUUCUUCUAAAGCUAAAUACUGGCCAGAGACCGAUAGCGCACAAGUAGAGUGAUCGAAAGAUGAAAAGCACUUUGGAAAGAGAGUUAAAAAGCACGUGAAAUUGUUGAAAGGGAAGCGCUUGCAGCCAGACUUGCCUGUAGUUGCUCAUCCGGGUUUCUACCCGGUGCACUCUUCUAUAGGCAGGCCAGCAUCAGUUUGGGCGGUUGGAUAAAGGUCUCUGUCAUGUACCUCCUCUCGGGGAGAUCUUAUAGGGGAGACGACAUGCAACCAGCCUGGACUGAGGUCCGCGCAUCUGCUAGGAUGCUGGCGUAAUGGCUGUAAGCGGCCCGUCUUGAAACACGGACCAAGGAGUCUAACAUCUAUGCGAGUGUUUGGGUGUCAAGCCCGAGCGCGUAAUGAAAGUGAACGGAGGUGGGAACCUUUCGGGGUGCACCAUCGACCGAUCCUGAUGUCUUCGGAUGGAUUUGAGUAAGAGCAUAGCUGUUGGGACCCGAAAGAUGGUGAACUAUGCUUGAAUAGGGUGAAGCCAGAGGAAACUCUGGUGGAGGCUCGCAGCGGUUCUGACGUGCAAAUCGAUCGUCAAAUUUGGGCAUAGGGGCGAAAGACUAAUCGAACUAUCUAGUAGCUGGGUUCCUGCCGA
rnacentral:rRNA from 1 species